GAAGGCAGCUACCUUAAAGAUGCCGGGAUCCGCAGCGAAGGGCUCGGAGUUGUCAGAGAGGAUCGAGAGCUUCGUGGAGACCCUGAAGCGGGGUGGUGGGCCGCGCAGCUCCGAGGAAAUGGCUCGGGAGACCCUAGGGUUGCUGCGCCAGAUCAUCACGGACCACCGCUGGAGCAACGCGGGUGAGGCCGGCCUGCCUCCGCCGGCGAACCUGGCCCCUGUCUGUUCCCGAUCCCAGGGCUGAAAAUUUCCCAGGCCUCACUUCGCGUUGGCUCCUCUUAUCCUCUCUCUUUUGGACUGUAGGGGAGCUGAUGGAGCUGAUCCGCAGAGAGGGCAGGAGGAUGACGGCCGCUCAGCCCUCCGAGACCACCGUGGGCAACAUGGUGCGGAGAGUGCUCAAGAUUAUCCGGGAGGAGUAUGGCAGGUCAGGCUCACGUCCUGGGCUCCUGGUUGGAUCCAGUGACACUUUUUGCACGGGCCCCUCUACCUGCUCGGAGACUUUAUUGGAGCUGAACAGCCCUUGUUACCUGCCUGACCACUCCUCCCCACCUCUCUCUUUGGGUCUUGUUGCCUCUAUAGACUCCAUGGACGCAGCGACGAGAGUGAUCAGCAGGAGUCCCUGCACAAACUGUUGACAUCCGGAGGCCUAAACGAGGAUUUCAGCUUCCAUUAUGCCCAACUCCAGUCCAACAUCAUUGAGGCGAUUAAUGAGCUGCUAGUGGAGCUGGAAGGGACAAUGGAGAACAUUGCAGCCCAGGCUCUGGAGCACAUUCACUCCAAUGAGGUGAUCAUGACCAUUGGCUUCUCCCGAACAGUAGAGGCCUUCCUCAAAGAGGCUGCCCGAAAGAGGAAAUUCCAUGUCAUUGUAGCAGAGUGUGCUCCUUUCUGCCAGGUAAGGAGACUGCUGGAGUUGCUACUAAGAAAAAUGAAAAAUGAAGAAGAAAUAAACGAGAGAUGGGUAGGGCCAUUCCAACCUUGAAUUGAUAAGCAAGACUUUGAGACACUGAGAAGAUCAAGUAAAACAUUAAGUGAAUUUUCAAGGUGUUCGUCCUGUGAACAUUCAUAAAUAGUGGUUUAAGAAAGUUGGGGCCGGG
rnacentral:lncRNA from 1 species